rnacentral:rRNA from 1 species
GAUGAACGCUGGCGGCGUGCCUAAUACAUGCAAGUCGAGCGAACGGACGAGAAGCUUGCUUCUCUGAUGUUAGCGGCGGACGGGUGAGUAACACGUGGAUAACCUACCUAUAAGACUGGGAUAACUUCGGGAAACCGGAGCUAAUACCGGAUAAUAUUUUGAACCGCAUGGUUCAAAAGUGAAAGACGGUCUUGCUGUCACUUAUAGAUGGAUCCGCGCUGCAUUAGCUAGUUGGUAAGGUAACGGCCUACCAAGGCAACGAUGCAUAGCCGACCUGAGAGGGUGAUCGGCCACACUGGAACUGAGACACGGUCCAGACUCCUACGGGAGGCAGCAGUAGGGAAUCUUCCGCAAAGGGCGAAAGCCUGACGGAGCAACGCCGCGUGAGUGAUGAAGGUCUUCGGAUCGUAAAACUCUGUUAUUAGGGAAGAACAUAUGUGUAAGUAACUGUGCACAUCUUGACGGUACCUAAUCAGAAAGCCACGGCUAACUACGUG